rnacentral:rRNA from 1 species
GAAGUCGGUGAGGUAACCUUUUGGAGCCAGCCGCCUAAGGUGGGAUAGAUGAUUGGGGUGAAGUCGUAACAAGGUAGCCGUAUCGGAAGGUGCGGCUGGAUCACCUCCUUUCUAAGGAA